UACGUAGGGUGCAAGCGUUGUCCGGAAUUAUUGGGCGUAAAGAGCUCGUAGGCGGUUUGUCGCGUCUGCUGUGAAAAUCCAGGGCUCAACCCUGGACCUGCAGUGGGUACGGGCAGACUAGAGUGCGGUAGGGGAGAUCGGAAUUCCUGGUGUAGCGGUGAAAUGCGCAGAUAUCAGGAGGAACACCGGUGGCGAAGGCGGCAUCCUGGACCGGCAUUGACGCUGAGGCGCGAAAGCUAGGGGAGCAAACGGG
rnacentral:rRNA from 1 species